UAAGCCCCGCCCCCAGCCCGUCCUGGGGCUUGUGGUCGAAGCAUGUUCGAGGCGGGUGGGACGCCGCGGGCGGCGCUGACGCUACAGCUGGGCAGUUACGCGGGGUUCGUGGGCGCGCACUGGUGGAACCUGCAGGAUGCUGCGUUGCGCUGCGAAUCAGAGGUGCAUGAGCAGGAGUGCAAGGUCUGCCCCGAUGUGCUGUACCGGGCUGGGCGGACCCUCAGUGGGCAAGAGACAUACACACCUCGACUCAUCCUUAUGGACUUGAAAGGAAGCCUGAACUCUCUGAAACAAGAGGGAUAUUUAUAUGGGGACAUGAAGAUAGACACCUCGGUAGCAUGGCAGGGUAAUCUGAUGACUCAUCAAGAAGAGCCUCCUGCAAAGAACCUUUUUCUACAGGACCUCAGCAAACUGGAGGGAGGCAUGUCCUCUGAUGGAGACUUCAGUCCCAGAGCUCUUCCUCUCAGUAAAGAUGUAUCUCAGCUCCCUACACAGUUGCAUGUUUCCCAAAAGGGUCACCAGUUGGAAGGCAGUGUGCGGGUUUGGUCUGAUUACCUCCGAGUGCGUCUGCAUCCUAGAAGCAUCUUCAUGAUAAAUCAGUACAACGAUGAUGGGGAGUCCAGUCAACUCGAAGCCUUUGGACAAGGGGAAAGCCUCCUGCAUGACCCCACUUACCUAGAGGAGCUGGAAGAUAGAUUGCACUUCUACGUGGAAGAGUGUGAUUAUCUGCAGGGUUUUCAGAUUCUCUGUGACUUGAACAAUGGAUUUUCUGGAGUUGGAGCUAAGGUGACAGAACUUCUCCAUGAUGAGUAUUCAGGGAGAGGAAUUCUGACAUGGGGAUUGACUCCAGUCAUUGAUAACGUUGGGGUGUCCUGGAAGGAUUUUUACAGGCUGAUGAACACAGUCCUGGGAAUUGUCCAUCUCUCCAGUCACAGCUCACUCUUUUGCCCACUGUCACUCAAUGGAAGUCUGGGACUCAAACCAGAAGCCCCUGUUACACUCCCAUAUGUACAUUAUGAUGCCUCUCUAAACUUUCAUAGCAGUGCAAUCUUGGCAACAGCAAUGGAUACCUUCAGUGUUCCAUACAGACUCCAUUCCUCCCAGUUCUCCAUGGUACAGCUUGCUGAUGCAUUUAACAGCUCUGGGAGAAAGGUUGUGGCUGCAGGAGCUGCUGUGCCCUUUCCUAUAUCAUAUGGUCAGUCUCUCCCAGAUGCUUUGUGCAGCUACCAGCUUGCAGUGCCAUGGACACCAUUGUCUUCAUGUGGGGAGCAAAAGGACAGCUGCUGUUUUGCUCAGUCUGUUGUGCUGAGAGGAAUUGGCAAAGAAAGUCAUAUCAGUAAUCUUCCUCCAGGGUCACAACCCAAGUCUGCCCUCCAUGUUUGUGAAACUGGAGAGGAGGUUCUGGGAAGCUACUUACAUGCUCGGUGCCCAGGGACAUUCAGCACCUCAUAUUUGCUUCAGGGCCCAUGUAAAGUGUUAGCCCCAUACCCCCAAUUUUUCUCUGCUCUUCUAAACAAGCAAGGUUUCCUCCUGGACAAGCUUCCCAGCUGCACAACAGCUGUUGAAAGCAUUCCUGUCCUAACAGCACUGCAAUCAUCACCUACUCUGCACAGUGCUCUCUACAGUUUAUAUAAGGAGCUGCACCGAGUGGAUGUACGGCGCUGGGCUAGCUUUUUCUCUGCAGGAGGACAGUAGACUUGAAGUAAAGAUUGCUAACAUUGUGGGGCAACAAGUCCACAAUGAGAACGUCUGUCUCUCAAUAAGACUGUUUGGUGCAGCGAGGAAGAUGGUAAUUGCUGCCUGUACGGUGGUGGCCAUCCUGCCUUGACAUAUAAACUGCAACUAGCAGCCCCAGUGUCACACAGCCAAUAUUCUAACCAGCUGAAUUAAACCGUUCAAGCCAACAGCACUAAAAGAAUUGUGUGUGCAAUAUCAGCUCUGUGGAAGGAUGGAGCAGCUGCAUUUGACUCUAAUCUGCCUAUCAUUUGGCUAAGAGAAAGUUAUGACAAAAAUUUCCAAAACAAUCCAUUCAGAAUGCUUUUUAAUUUUGCAAUUUCAUAGUUCAAGUCCCUAGUCUUGUUAGUAGAACCAUCGCAACCAAAAGAAAAUGUCUUUGAUGCAUCACUCAAACCACUGGAACAGAUUUUUCCCAUCUAUUGUUGCUUUCCUGAUGGAUUUCCAAAGCUUGAAACAUCUGCAAACAUAUCAUGCAUUCCAGACUACCAAGCUAAGCAAUCCUGUACAAAUCCCUACGAUGUGAUCUUACUGUGUCACUUUUCAUGGCUUAAGUAGAAAAAGAUAGCCAAUAAUAUUGAGGUCAUUGCUUAAAGACAUGUUAGAAACAGUGCUGCAAAACAACACUAAAUUCCAUUUCAAAUCAUAGCAAAAAAUCUGGAAUCCAUCUCAUUUGAGGGGAGGGCAUCAUGCAAAAGGCUAUUACUACCCUACAAACCUGCCCCUUCA